AUGCAACGCGAAGAACCUUACCUGGUCUUGACAUCCACAGAACUUGGCAGAGAUGCCUUGGUGCCUUCGGGAACUGUGAGACAGGUGCUGCAUGGCUGUCGUCAGCUCGUGUUGUGAAAUGUUGGGUUAAGUCCCGCAACGAGCGCAACCCUUAUCCUUUGUUGCCAGCGGUCCGGCCGGGAACUCAAAGGAGACUGCCAGUGAUAAACUGGAGGAAGGUGGGGAUGACGUCAAGUCAUCAUGGCCCUUACGACCAGGGCUACACACGUGCUACAAUGGCAUAUACAAAGAGAAGCGACCUCGCGAGAGCAAGCGGACCUCAUAAAGUAUGUCGUAGUCCG
rnacentral:rRNA from 1 species